rnacentral:tRNA from 1 species
UUAGUUAAAGCUAAUUAUUUAGCAAUUUAUUGUUAAUAAAUUAUUUGGAUAAUAUUUAUUCUAACUAAA